GGGAAUUAUUUACAGAUUUAUACUCGAUUUUUAUAAUUAUUAUCAUUAUUGUUUUCAUUUAAAUAAUUGUUGCAUAUAUUUUGGGUUCUAUAAUAAGCACUAUUGGUUCAAAUGAAUUCAAUAUAUAUUAUUAUAGUUAAGAUGGAUGUGUGUGCUUGUUUGUGCGGGCGUGGGCGCGGCAUUGCGCGCAUUUAGAGAAGGAGUUCUCGCGAUACGUUUCAUUCAAGAUAAGCAACGCUGAUGAUUGCAUCGCUUAAACUUGUUAAUAUUAUCCUUUACAGGUCAGUGGUCACGCCUCUUUCUUUCACUCGGCACGGCGGCAGUCGCUGGAGCCUGCAGGACGCUUGACAGCUCAACAAUGGCCCUGCCAACUUUAUCCUCAGAUGAGCUGAUCCAAACAUGACAGAAGGUGGUGUAACUAUGACAGAAGUUGAAGCACAGAAAUUCAGAGGUCAGUGGUCACGCCUCUUUCUUUCACUCGGCAUGGCACUCGCUGGAGCCUGCAGGACGCUUGACAGCUCAACAAUGGCCCUGCCAACUUUAUCCUCAGAUGAGCUGAUCCAAACAUGACAGAAGGUGGUGUAACUAUGACCGAAGUUGAAGCACAGAAAUUCAGAGGUGAGUAAUACUGUCGUUAGCUAACGUAAAGUUACAUUAAACUACGUCAUCACGUUGAAAGGUCACGCCGGCGCCGGCAAUACUACUUUAACUACUAUUCAUAUUCAUCAAAAUGUUAUUCAUAUAGUAUUCAGUGAAUAUGAAUAGUGUAUAUAUAUAAUAGCAAACAAUACUAUUUGAACUAUCCUCCUACGUACGGUCGCAUUGUAAACAGUGGGGUGCUUCUGCUGGCGCCGGCGUGACCUUUCAACGUGAUGUAGUUCUCUGUCCGUUUGUUGAUCAGCUCA